GCAUAACGCGAAGAACCUUACCUACCCUUGACAUGUCUGGAAUCCCGAAGAGAUUUGGGAGUGCUCGCAAGAGAACCGGAACACAGGUGCUGCAUGGCUGUCGUCAGCUCGUGUCGUGAGAUGUUGGGUUAAGUCCCGCAACGAGCGCAACCCUUGUCAUUAGUUGCUACGAAAGGGCACUCUAAUGAGACUGCCGGUGACAAACCGGAGGAAGGUGGGGAUGACGUCAAGUCCUCAUGGCCCUUAUGGGUAGGGCUUCACACGUCAUACAAUGGUCGGGACAGAGGGUUGCCAAGCCGCGAGGUGGAGCCAAUCCCAGAAACCCGAUCGUAGUCCGGAUUGCAGUCUGCAACUCGACUGCAUGAAGUCGGAAUCGCUAGUAAUCGCGGAUCAGAAUGUCGCGGUGAAUACGUUCCCGGGUCUUGUACACACCG
rnacentral:rRNA from 1 species